rnacentral:rRNA from 1 species
CCCUUAGAUGUCCUGGGCCGCACGCGCGCUACACUGAUGCAUUCAACGAGUUUUACCUUGGCCGAGAGGCCUGGGCAAUCUUUUAAACGUGCAUCGUGAUAGGGAUAGAUUAUUGUAAUUAUUAAUCUUGAACGAGGAAUUCCUAGUAAACGCAAAUCAUCAAUUUGCAUUGAUUACGUCCCUGCCCUUUGUACACACCGCCCGUCGCACCUACCGAUUGAAUGGUCCGGUGAAAUCUCGGGACGGCGGCUUGGUCGCUUGCGUCCGACUGCUGAAACUUGAUUAAACCAUAUCAUUUAGAGGAAGGUGAAGUCGUAACA